GUAGGGAAUAUUGGGCAAUGGUCGGAAGACUGACCCAGCCAUGCCGCGUGUAGGAAGACGGCCCUCUGGGUUGUAAACUGCUUUUAUCUGGGAAGAAAAAGGCCAUGCGUGGCAAAUUGCCGGUACCAGAUGAAUAAGCACCGGCUAACUCCGUGCCAGCAGCCGCGGUAAUACGGAGGGUGCGAGCGUUGUCCGGAUUUAUUGGGUUUAAAGGGUGCGUAGGCGGCUGAUUAAGUCAGCGGUGAAAGACUUCGGCUUAACCGGAGCAGUGCCGUUGAUACUGGUUGGCUUGAGUGUCGGAGGGGUACAUGGAAUUGAUGGUGUAGCGGUGAAAUGCAUAGAUACCAUCAGGAACACCGAUAGCGAAGGCAUUGUACUGGCCGACAACUGACGCUGAUGCACGAAAGUGUGGGGAUCGAACAGGAUUAGAAACCCUGGUAGUCC
rnacentral:rRNA from 1 species